rnacentral:rRNA from 1 species
UACGUAGGGUGCAAGCGUUAAUCGGAAUACUGGGCGUAAAGCGUGCGCAGGCGGUGAUGUAAGACAGGUGUGAAAUCCCCGGGCUUAACCUGGGAACUGCAUUUGUGACUGCAUCGCUGGAGUGCGGCAGAGGGGGAUGGAAUUCCGCGUGUAGCAGUGAAAUGCGUAGAUAUGUGGAGGAAUACCGAUGGCGAAGGCAGCCCCCUGGGUCAAGACUGACGCUCAUGCACGAAAGCGUGGGGAGCAAACAGG